CCUACGUCCGAUUAGCUAGUUGGUGGGGUAAUAGCCUACCAAGGCGACGAUCGGUAGCUGGUCUGAGAGGAUGAUCAGCCACACUGGGGACUGAGACACGGCCCAGACUCCUACGGGAGGCAGCAGUGGGGAAUAUUGGACAAUGGGCGAAAGCCUGAUCCAGCAAUGCCGCGUGGGUGAAGACGGCCUGCGGGUUGUAAAGCCCUUUAGGCGGGGAGGAACGACGGGGCGUGAAUAACGUUUCGGAGUGACGUUACCCGCGGAAUAAGCACCGGCUAACUCCGUGCCAGCAGCCGCGGUAAUACGGAGGGUGCGAGCGUUAAUCGGAAUUACUGGGCGUAAAGCGUGCGUAGGCGGAUGGGUCGAGUCAGCCGUGAAAGCCCCGGGCUUAACCUGGGAACGGCGGUUGAGACGGCCCGUCUUGAGUGGGGCUAGGAGGAUCGGU
rnacentral:rRNA from 1 species